UGAAUUGACGGGGCCGCACAAGCGGUGGAGUAUGUGGUUUAAUUCGAUGCAACGCGAAGAACCUUACCUGGUCUUGACAUCCCGGAGACCCUUAGGAAACUAGGGGGUGCUUCCAUCUGGAAGAAUCUGGAGACAGGUGCUGCAUGGCUGUCGUCAGCUCGUGUCGUGAGAUGUUGGGUUAAGUCCCGCAACGAGCGCAACCCUUGCCUUUAGUUGCCAGCAGUUCGGCUGGGCACUCUAAAGGGACUGCCGGUGUUAAACCGGAGGAAGGUGGGGAUGACGUCAAGUCCUCAUGGCCUUUAUGACCAGGGCUACACACGUACUACAAUGGCCGAUACAAAGGGCAGCGACACUGCGAGGUGAAGCCAAUCCCGUAAAAUCGGUCUCAGUCCGGAUUGGAGUCUGCAACUCGACUCCAUGAAGUUGGAAUCGCUAGUAAUCGUGGAUCAGCAUGCCACGGUGAAUACGUUCCCGGGCCUU
rnacentral:rRNA from 1 species